ACAUACUAAGAACUUUCCAGAGAUGGAUUGGUGCCUUCGGGAACUUUAGAUACAGGUGCUGCAUGGCUGUCGUCAGCUCGUGUCGUGAGAUGUUGGGUUAACGUCCGCAACGAGCGCAACCUUUUCCUUAUUUGCCAGCGGGUAAUGCCGGGAACUUUAAGGAUACUGCCAGUGACAAACUGGAGGAAGGCGGGGACGACGUCAAGUCAUCAUGGCCCUUACGGCCAGGGCUACACACGUGCUACAAUGGUCGGUACAAAGGGUUGCUACCUCGCGAGAGGAUGCUAAUCUCAAAAAGCCGAUCGUAGUCCGGAUCGCAGUCUGCAACUCGACUGCGUGAAGUCGGAAUCGCUAGUAAUCGCGGAUCAGAAUGCCGCGGUGAAUACGUUCCCGGGCCUUGUACACACCGCCCGUCACACCAUGGGAGUUUGUUGCACCAGAAGUAGGUAGUCUAACCGCAAGGAGGACGCUUACCACGGUGUGGCCGAUGACUGGGGUGAAGUCGUAACAAGGUAAGCGUAGAUGA
rnacentral:rRNA from 1 species